UACGAAGGGGGCGAGCGUUGUUCGGAAUUACUGGGCGUAAAGGGCGCGUAGGCGGCCGAUCAAGUCAGAUGUGAAAGCCCUGGGCUUAACCUGGGGACUGCAUUUGAUACUGAUUGGCUUGAAUUCGGGAGAGGAUAGCGGAAUUCCCAGUGUAGAGGUGAAAUUCGUAGAUAUUGGGAAGAACACCGGUGGCGAAGGCGGCUAUCUGGACCGACAUUGACGCUGAUGCGCGAAAGCGUGGGGAGCAAACAGG
rnacentral:rRNA from 1 species